AAAGGCAAAAAAGUCCAACUUCAAGUGCCCAUAACUCCUUCAUCAAAAAUCCAAAUGAUUCAAAAUUUAAAUCCAGUUUGAUUGACUUGAAAAGACCUACAACUUUGAUGUUGGAAGUGUUUCCAUUUGAGGCUCUCAUAAUCAAAGGCAUGUUUUGCACUAUGAACUUCAUGGCCUGUUUUCAUAAAUUUCCACACUCCAAAUGAGUUUUGGUCCAACAUAACAUUUGUUCCUUAUGUCAAGACCU
rnacentral:lncRNA from 1 species